rnacentral:rRNA from 1 species
CCUACGGGUGGCAGCAGUGAGGAAUAUUGGUCAAUGGACGAGAGUCUGAACCAGCCAAGCAGCGUGAAGGAUGACUUCCCUAUGGGGUGUAAACUUCUUUUAUAUGGGAAUAAAAUGCUCCACGUGUGUGAUUUUGUCUGUACCAUUUGAAUCAGGAUCGGCUAAUUCCGUGCCAGCAGCCGCGGUAAUACGGAGGAUCUGAGCGUUAUGCGGAUGUAGUGGGUUUAAAGGGAGCGUAGGUGGAUUGUUAAGUCAGAUGUGAAAGUUUGCGGCUCAACCGUAAAAUUGAAGUUGAAACGGGCAGUCUUGAGUACAGUAGAGGUGAGCGGAAUUCGUGGUGUAGCGGUGAAAUGCUUAGAUAUCACGAAGAACUCCGAUUGCGAAGGCAGUUCACUGGACUGCAACUGACACUGAGGCUCGAAAGUGUGGGUAUCAAACAGGAUUAGAUACCCGAGUAGUC